UGGGGAAUUUUGGACAAUGGGCGCAAGCCUGAUCCAGCCAUGCCGCGUGCGGGAAGAAGGCCUUCGGGUUGUAAACCGCUUUUGUCAGGGAAGAAAUCUUCUGAGUUAAUACCUCGGGAGGAUGACGGUACCUGAAGAAUAAGCACCGGCUAACUACGUGCCAGCAGCCGCGGUAAUACGUAGGGUGCAAGCGUUAAUCGGAAUUACUGGGCGUAAAGCGUGCGCAGGCGGUUUUGUAAGACAGAGGUGAAAUCCCCGGGCUCAACCUGGGAACUGCCUUUGUGACUGCAAGGCUUGAGUGCGGCAGAGGGGGAUGGAAUUCCGCGUGUAGCAGUGAAAUGCGUAGAUAUGCGGAGGAACACCGAUGGCGAAGGCAAUCCCCUGGGCCUGCACUGACGCUCAUGCACGAAAGCGUGGGGAGCAAACAGGAUUAGAUACCCUGGUAGUCCACGCCCUAAACGAUGUCAACUGGUUGUUGGGAAGGUUCCUUCUCAGUAACGUAGCUAACGCNUGAAGUUGACCGCCUGGGGAGUACGGCCGCAAGGUUGAAACUUAAAUGAAUUGACGGGGUCAUAGC
rnacentral:rRNA from 1 species